rnacentral:rRNA from 1 species
AUUGAACGCUGGCGGCAGGCCUAACACAUGCAAGUCGAACGAGUGGCGGACGGGUGAGUAAUGUCUGGGAAACUGCCUGAUGGAGGGGGAUAACUACUGGAAACGGUAGCUAAUACCGCAUACCAUCGGAUGUGCCCAGAUGGGAUUAGCUAGUAGGUGGGGUAAAGGCUCACCUAGGCGACGAUCCCUAGCUGGUCUGAGAGGAUGACCAGCCACACUGGAACGUAGACACGGUCCAGACUCCUACGGGAGGACGCAGUGGGGAAUAUUGCACAAUGGGCGCAAGCCUGAUGCAGCCAUGCCGCGUGUAUGAAGAAGGCCUUCGGGUUGUAAAGUACUUUCAGCGAGGAGGCGUUACUCGCAGAAGAAGCACCGGCUAACUCCGUGUCAGCAGCCGCGGUAAUUC